AAUGAAGGAUAAACUUGACAUUCUGGGAUGAGCUUGCACAUGUUGCUUUUCAGCAUGUAGAGAGAGGCCACCAAAUUUAUGUUUCUGGUCGCCUGGUUACAGAUACUGUCCAAAGCAACUUCGGGAAACCGCAGACCUACUACAAGGUGUUUGUUCAGCAGCUGAAUUUCAUUGAAAGGGGUCAAUUACCAGUAUCGACAAAACAAUCGCGAGUCUCAUUCCACGAUGACUGGCAAGUCAUGUAUUCAAUCAAAUAUAGUGUCCACUAUGUCUCACUAUUGUUUUUCCGCUUAAUGGCAGGCCUUUUUUCUGCUUUGAUUUCAGAUAGAAGAGGGAACUCGGUGUAAAUAAUAAUGGCUCUGCAGAAGAAUUAUGGCAAGCGUUCUUUGCUAGGCCAGAGGAGUGGUGGGACAACAGGAAAAACAAGAGGAACCCAAAGUAUCCCGAUUUCAAGCACAAAGAUACAGGGGAAGCAUUGUGGGUGGAGGGCAGGUCCAAUCCACCAUGGGUCAAGUCCCAGCUGGAAAUAAUGGAUACGAGGAUGGAGCUUUUCCCUGAUCAAAAUGCUAGGAUGCUGUAAGCAUGGCGGCUGCUGAUGAAUUCUUGUCUUUCUAAAAGCUUGUGUCAGCGGUGCCCAACGUAGCAUUUGAUUUUGACGAGGAUACUUUGUACAGUUUGUGUUACACUUUGAAUGCAAAUUAUAGCUCUACUUCAGCAACUUACAUUAUUCGUUUGUUGUGCCUAAUUUUCUGCGCUGAUUCCGCACGUGUAUCUUAUUUGCUGAAUUA